UACGAAGGGGGCUAGCGUUGUUCGGAAUCACUGGGCGUAAAGCGUACGUAGGCGGAUUGUUAAGUCAGGGGUGAAAGCCCGAGGCUCAACCUCGGAAUUGCCUUUGAUACUGGCUGUCUUGAGUCCGGGAGAGGUGAGUGGAACUCCUAGUGUAGAGGUGAAAUUCGUAGAUAUUAGGAAGAACACCAGUGGCGAAGGCGGCUCACUGGCCCGGAACUGACGCUGAUGUACGAAAGCGUGGGGAGCAAACAGG
rnacentral:rRNA from 1 species